GGAACUGUGGCAUCGUGGUUUGAGCAUUGGACUAUGACUCUGGAAGCCAGGAUUCGAAUCCCAGCAUGGCCA